rnacentral:lncRNA from 1 species
AAAGGCACACCAAUGAAAGAAUGUUGAGCAUAUCAUAUAACACAACAAAGUUUCAAUUUGCAUCACCAUUAGAAUCUUACAAGUAAGUUCUAACUUGCAGGACAUAAUAUUUGGUUUUACUUUAUCAAUUGCAUGUUUUUCCUUGUCUUUAUAAACAGAUGAAAGUAGUAAUAAGACUUUCAAUUUAACAAUUAAAUAGGUAUUUUGGUGUUAUAUGUGAAAAAGUAUGGUUUUGGAAAUUUGUUUGCUUCGUUAAAGGGAUUGAGUAAAUGGAAGGUCGUUUUGGUUGAGAAAUGACUGAGAAUAUGUUUUGGUAUUAGUGCUCGUUUGGUUCAAGUAGAGGAAUGGAAAGGGAAUGGAAUCAAAUAAAGGAGUGGAAUGGUAACAAUAACCAUUACUUUUAUUGAGUGUUUGGUUUAACAAUGAAAAUGAAUCAUUAGUAAGGGAAUCCCUUUCUUUUGUUUCCCCUCUAUUUUGAGGGGUAACAAAUUGGGUGAUUGGGUUACCCUUAAGUAAGGGUAAUGAUUAUCUCAUUACCCAAACCAAACAACAAGUAAUGGAUUCAAUUACUUGAUUCCCUUUCCAACCUCUAAAAACACCCAACCAAACGUGGGCUUAAUCUGAGUGGUUUGGAUUGUGCAUUGGUAUUCUUGUGAAGCUCUUUGUUGACUGAAGAAGAGUAUCACAAUUCCACCAUACAUGAUCUGCUUGGGAAGCUCGAGGUAUAUAUUUUUCGAUGAAAUUUGGACCUAGUGUUACUGGUAUGAGAAUGGAAAAUAAGGUUAAGGUUAUAUUAGUGCUGAAAACAGCUUGAAAAACGAUAUUACUAGUUAAAAAUGGCUCUUCUGCUUAGAAACGAAAUGCAGUUGCAAGUGUUUUUUUACAUAACUAGCAGUAAGAACGUGCGAUGCACGUUUAACACUUGUAAUUUUAUACUAUAAAAAUAAAAUGCAUAGGUAUUAUUAUACAAUUUUGAAUAUUAUCACUAAUUAAUUGUAUUUAUUAAAUUGACCUAUUCAUUUGAUUAUAAUUAAAAUUUAAAAAGAAAUUAAUGAACUAUUAAUGAUAAAUUAAUAGCGUUGCUAUUAAAACAAAAAAAAUAGAAAUACGCUUAGCAUCGGCCUACUCGAUCUCCACCUUACUCGAGUAGGUGGGACCGGGUAGACCGAUGCAGAUGCUCUUAGAGCUGUUACAAUUGACAAGGACAAUGCACCCAUGAUGCUUCAGCUUCAACUCAUUAUGUCUAUAAAUCGAUUUACAGGUGGCAAGGAAAAUACGAAGAUCCCAACUCAUUAUGUCUGUAAGAUCAUUGGUGUUGGGAAAGAUAUGCAGAAAAUGACACAUUGUAGGUUUGUUGAAUACUAGUACCCUCCAAUUUGUAUGAGAUUGGUUGAAUAUUACUUUGAAGUUGGUUUGUUGAAUGCGUUAAUAGAUGAAUUUCUACGAUAUUGGAUUUUUAUUGCAUUUU